GCUCAGCACGGUCUGUCAAUCGCUGUUCUGCAGGUCACGGAAGUUUUACGUCACCAGGUCGGAAUUUAAAGCUCAGAGCGAACCCAGAACAGAAGAUGACUCAGAUGGACCUCCUGGUCACCAACGUGGCCGAGCUUUUGGCUACAGCCGUGCACGAGGUCCUGCGUCUGAUGGGUCAGGCCGUGUCCGAAUACCGUGACGAGUCAGCCAGGAUACGGCAGGAGAACCAGAAACUGCAGCACAUGCUCGAGGAGCUCCAGAAGAGGCUUCAGAUAUCAGACGCAGCACAGCAGGUCUCGUCGUCUGUAGCCGCAGAAGAGCCGCUCUACGAGUCUCACCACGUGCAAGCGUUGGACUGUCAUUUCGAACGAGAGACUGAAGAGAACGACGAAACGGAUUCAUACGAGCCGUCCUUCGACGAGGAGAAACCGAGCGCUGUACAUCUGACUGAACCAAACGAUGCGAUUUCUUCCCCAUGCGACUUUUCUCCUAAAAGUAGGAGGAGCUUCUCAAGGUUGAGGAGCCGAUCAGCUUCACCUGACCUCACUGGCACACCGGGAAUCUUAAAUCCUAUCAAAACAGAAUCCGAGUUUCCAGAAUGUUCCCUAUCAGAACAGACUGAGAACACGAUCACAGACGCACACCUCCACCCUGUCUAUGUUAAUCCCGCCCACAUCUCCUGGGAUGCAAACACUCCACCGCACGCACACAUCCGAACAGAGAACACGGUGGACGCCGCAGGUGGUCUGUUCAGCCUCACCGUGCCGAGAGAGAACUCGCACACAUGUCAUGUGUGCAGCAAGUCGUUUGCGACGGCCUCCAGCCUGGGCGCACACUUCGUCUGCCACUCGGGCGAAAGACCGUUUGCGUGCGAGCGCUGCAAGUUCCGGUUCAGCCGUUUAGCCGAUCUGAAGAAGCACGAACGAAUCCAUACGGGGGAGAAGCCGUACAACUGUACACUCUGUGGCAGGAGGUUUAACCGCACCGAGAAUCUCAGACGCCACCUGAGGAAAGUCCAUCACGGAGCUCUGCUUUAGCUGAGUGAACUCACUGAGAGACUGAUUUUAUUUAUACGCUGCAGUCCAACACUUUCAUGCGAGACUAUAUAUUUUUUUAUUACAUAAAAAUUGUAUACACAACAUACACACUGUAACCAUAGCAACAUGACCACUGAGUUCUAGCCCCUACAGGCUAACUACCCAGUCUUAUUACUAAUAGUAAUAAUAACGUUUAAAAGAUUUAGUCUGACCAUGGCAGCUUGACCUGUUACACCUGAGUGAACAUGGGACUCGUCCAUGGCAUCAGAAACAAUUACACAUCACAAAACUAACAAAGAUUUCAUCUCUAGUUAUACUGAAGCCUUAAAAUAUCAACGUUGAAAAGUUUCUCAGUAAACUCUAAAUAUACAACCUUUAUCAGCCAGCACUGUGUUGGUGUCCAUAUUGUUUCCCCCGCCCCCUGUUCUCCCAGUUUGGCCAAUUCCUGCCCACCAACAGCAACUAAUCAGGCUGAAGUCUUAACGUGUGUUGUGUCACAGUGCAGCAUAACACACUCAGAAGAAAGCACUAUCUGCCCUCUUCCUCAUACAUGAGUUCACGGACACCCCGAUUGGUGAGUGUCACUGUAAUUGACAGGAGAAAGAGAGAGAGAGCUGCCCCUCCUACAUAGAAAGCCCAGCCAGAUUUGCCCUCAAGUUUGAACCCUGGUGAUGCCUCAUGGAGCAAACGCUUUUCUGUUGUGCCACUUGGGAGCCUCCAUGUGAACCUGCAACCUGAUUGGUCAGGAGAUAAAGGGGGUGGCACGGUGGUGUAGUGGUUAGCACUGUCGCCUCACAGCAAGAAGGUCCUGGGUUUGAGCCCAGCGGCCGGCGAGGGCCUUUCUGUGCGGAGUUUGCAUGUUCUCCCCGUGUCCGCAUGGGUUUCCUCCGGGUGCUCCGGUUUCCCCCACAGUCCAAAGACAUGCAGGUUAGGUUAACUGGUGACUCUAAAUUGACCGUAGGUGUGAAUGGUUGUCUGUGUCUAUGUGUCAGCCCUGUGAUGACCUGGCGACUUGUCCAGGGUGUACCCUGUUUAAAGACAUGCAGGUUAGGUUAAUAUGGGACGGCCUUGGGCUGAGGCGCCCUUGAGCGAGGACCCUAACUCCCAACUGCUCCCCGGGUGCUGUUAGCAUGGCUGCCCACUGCUCUGGGUAUGUGUGUGUGUAUGUGUGUGUUCACUGCUUCAGAUGGGUUAAAUGCAGAAAGGAAAUUUCACAAGUGUGUGAUGAAUAAAGUUGUGCUUUCUUUCUUUCUUCUUUUACCCCGCCUCUCACCCAUAGUCAGCUGGGAUAGGCUCCAGCUUGCCUGCGACCCUGUAGGACAGGAUAAGCGGCUACAGAUCAUGGAUAGGUUUUGUUUUCAAGUAGAGUUUUUAUUUCGUCCUCGGUUGGUUCAGCAACACGCUCCACCAUUUUGUUUUUCUCUACUCACGGUAUAUGAGCUGAUCUCCUAGUAGUAGCCAAUCAGAGCGCACGAUUGCUCAUAUCUAGUGAAUGUGGAUGGUGUGUGUAUAUAUUAUAUAAAUACACACACCCCACCCCAAAUUGAUCUGAUGUUAAAAUUUUGUACUGAAACGUUAACCUUUUUUUCACUUUUCAAGUCAUUUAUUUUGGUUUAUCAGCAAAUUUGCAGGGUUUUUUCCCCCCGCCAUCUUGUUCAUGAACACAUCAUCCAUCUCUAGGGACUUGAAAAGGGCUGAACAUGUUUGUGUGUAAUGACUGAGUGAAGAUUUGGGUUUGUUUUCUUUUUAAUAAUUACACACAACCCAGGUUCAUCCUUGAAUUUAAUUAUUAAAAAAAACCCAGCCAUAUUCAUCUUCAUUGGUCCCUCACAGAUGAAAAUGUCCUGAAACAGAAUUAAAACGUUUCGGCUCGUGUCUCAGCUGCUUUUCUUCCUCCACUCCGCUCUCCACUCGUCCCAGUCCAGCAGUGUCCGGUCCGUCUGCCACCCGCCUUUCUCUAAACCUG